GUUGUUUUGGCAGAAAAGUGCUUUAAAUUUAGAAUUUAUUUAUAUAUAUAUAUAUAUUAUUUAAACAACA
rnacentral:tRNA from 1 species